rnacentral:lncRNA from 1 species
GUCUCGCACUGUCGCCCAGGCUGGAGUGCAAUGACACGAUCUUGGCUCACUGAAACCUCCGCCUCCCAGGUUCAAGCAAUUCUCCUGCCUCAGCCUCCCAAGUAGCUAGGCUUACAGGCGUGUGCCACGUUGUCAUCUAUUUUAAAAACAAACAUACUACUCUGCUGAGAACGUUUUGAAAAUAUUUUUUUCCUAUUACAAAAGCAAUAUGUACUUGCCAAAAAAGGCAAUCAGAAAGUACAGACAAGCAAAAAGAAGAAAAUAAAAACACAUUCCCUCCUACCCAGGAACAGCCAAUAUUAGCACCUUCAUGACUCUUCAUAAGCUAUGUUUUUUUUUUUUUUUUAAGAGAUGGUGUCUCACUGUGUUGACCAGGUUGGUUUUGAAUUCCUGGCCUCAAGUGAUCCUCCCACCUCAGCCUCCCACAGUGCUGGGAUGAGCCACCACGCCUGCCAUGUUUUUUUUUUAAGAUAGCUCAACCUUCAAUUUCUGCUCCAGGAGCUAUUAAGGGCCCACCCUGUUGCCAUUACUGGAAAUAUGAGUUUGGAAGGAGGUUUGCAGAGUCCUCUGUGAUCCCCAGUUCCUAAGAUGGUUUUGCCAGGUCUCAGGCUGUGUUUGAGACCCCCAAAUCACAGCUAGUGGUAAGCGUGGUAGACACCCUGGCCCUGGCCUGUUUCGGAGCACAAAACUCCUCAUGUGUCAUGGGGGCCCGGAGCUGUCAAGUACGAGGACCUUAAGAGUAAUUCCUCACACGUUUAGGAUUGCGACACCCUAUCAUUGUUUGAUUUUGCAACCCUCCUUCCCCUUUACUGAAGGAAUACAUGCAGUAUUUGCAUAUUUCGUUGGGUACUUUUCCACACAUGAGUUGAAGGGAAUUAAGAUUCAUUUGGCUGCAAGACUACCAAAACCCUCCUUCCCCCACUCCUCGGAUAAUUGCAGGCAAUCAAUCAGGGGUGUCUUCAGUUGGAGUGAAGGAUGGCAGCUUUGAGGAGCCGUGAAGGCAGGUUCUGCCAUGAGGAAGGCCACCCCAGGCCUGGGAGUCCACCUACCAAGGCCAGAUAUCCCUGGGCCAUUCUGACACUCCCCCGCACCCCACGCACACACAACAAGAGGUUUCCAAGUCUCACCCACACCGUCUCUACUAAAAUCUCCCCUCCUGGGAAGGAGAGCCGGAGAGGCCUCCAGCUCCUGGCAUCCAGCCCUAGUGGGUCCACGCCCUCAGCACAGCCCUGGAGCAGAAAAUGUUCUUAGAGCUGAUGUGCAAGUCAGACCGUUUCUGUUUCCUCAAAUGGGGUGAUAUUUACUCCUGGCGCAGACCCAGGCCCACC